GAUGAACGCUAGCGGCAGGCCUAAUACAUGCAAGUCGAACGAUAUUAAGGGGCUUGCUCCUUAAGAAAGUGGCGCACGGGUGCGUAACGCGUAUGCAACCUACCUUAAUCAGGGGGAUAGCCCGAAGAAAUUCGGAUUAACACCGCAUAAAAACACAGGAUAGCAUUAUCCAAUGUUCAAAUAUUUAUAGGAUUAAGAUGGGCAUGCGUGUCAUUAGCUGGUUGGCGGGGUAACGGCCCACCAAGGCGACGAUGACUAGGGGAUCUGAGAGGAUGACCCCCCACACUGGUACUGAGACACGGACCAGACUCCUACGGGAGGCAGCAGUAAGGAAUAUUGGUCAAUGGAGGUAACUCUGAACCAGCCAUGCCGCGUGCAGGAAGACUGCCCUAUGGGUUGUAAACUGCUUUUAUCCGGGAAUAAACCUUUCUACGUGUAGGAAGCUGAAUGUACCGGAAGAAUAAGGAUCGGCUAACUCCGUGCCAGCCGCCGCCGUAAGAC
rnacentral:rRNA from 1 species